UUGGUUUAUACCCUUCCCGUACUA
rnacentral:tRNA from 1 species